UACGUAGGGCGCGAGCGUUGUCCGGAAUUACUGGGCGUAAAGAGCUCGUAGGUGGUUUGUCGCGUUGUUCGUGAAAACUCACAGCUUAACUGUGGGCGUGCGGGCGAUACGGGCAGACUGGAGUACUGCAGGGGAGACUGGAAUUCCUGGUGUAGCGGUGGAAUGCGCAGAUAUCAGGAGGAACACCGGUGGCGAAGGCGGGUCUCUGGGCAGUAACUGACGCUGAGGAGCGAAAGCGUGGGGAGCGAACAGG
rnacentral:rRNA from 1 species